AGAGUUUGAUCCUGGCUCAGGACGAACGCUGGCGGCGUGCCUAAUACAUGCAAGUCGAGCGGACAGAUGGGAGCUUGCUCCCUGAUGUUAGCGGCGGACGGGUGAGUAACACGUGGGUAACCUGCCUGUAAGACUGGGAUAACUCCGGGAAACCGGGGCUAAUACCGGAUGGUUGUUUGAACCGCAUGGUUCAAACAUAAAAGGUGGCUUCGGCUACCACUUACAGAUGGACCCGCGGCGCAUUAGCUAGUUGGUGAGGUAACGGCUCACCAAGGCGACGAUGCGUAGCCGACCUGAGAGGGUGAUCGGCCACACUGGGACUGAGACACGGCCCAGACUCCUACGGGAGGCAGCAGUAGGGAAUCUUCCGCAAUGGACGAAAGUCUGACGGAGCAACGCCGCGUGAGUGAUGAAGGUUUUCGGAUCGUAAAGCUCUGUUGUUAGGGAAGAACAAGUACCGUUCGAAUAGGGCGGUACCUUGACGGUACCUAACCAGAAAGCCACGGCUAACUACGUGCCAGCAGCCGCGGUAAUACGUAGGUGGCAAGCGUUGUCCGGAAUUAUUGGGCGUAAAGGGCUCGCAGGCGGUUUCUUAAGUCUGAUGUGAAAGCCCCCGGCUCAACCGGGGAGGGUCAUUGGAAACUGGGGAACUUGAGUGCAGAAGAGGAGAGUGGAAUUCCACGUGUAGCGGUGAAAUGCGUAGAGAUGUGGAGGAACACCAGUGGCGAAGGCGACUCUCUGGUCUGUAACUGACGCUGAGGAGCGAAAGCGUGGGGAGCGAACAGGAUUAGAUACCCUGGUAGUCCGCGCCGUAAACGAUGAGUGCUAAGUGUUAGGGGGUUUCCACCCCUUAGUGCUGCAGCUAAGGCAUUGUUCACUCCGCCUGGUGAGUACGAACACAAGGCUGAAACGCGCAGGAAGGGACG
rnacentral:rRNA from 1 species